GACGAACCGUGCGAACGUUUAUUCGGAAUCACUGGGCUUAAAAGCGCGUGUAGGCGGAUGAGCACGUCUGUCGCUGAAAUCCCCCGGCUCAACCGGGGAACUGGCGGAGAUACGGCUCGUCUGGAGGGGCGUAGGGGGGACCUGGAACUUCCGGUGGAGCGGUGAAAUGCGUUGAGAUCGGAAGGAACGCCCGUGGCGAAAGCGAGGUCUGGACGCCUACUGACGCUGAGACGCGAAAGCCAGGGGAGCGAACGGG
rnacentral:rRNA from 1 species